CUCUGCCUCUCUCUCUGUGUGUCUCUCAUGAAUAAAUAAAUAAAAAACCUUUUUUUAAAAAAAGCUCAAAAAAUAAAAAAUAAAUAAAAUAAAAAGAGAGAGAGAGAGUGAAUGAGUGUUGGGAAGGGUAGGUGGAGAGGGAGAAAAAGAAUCUAAAGCAGACUCCCCGCUGAGCACCCAAUCCAAUAUUGGGCUGGAUACCAAGACUUCAAGAACAUGACCUUAGCUGAAAUCAAGAGUCAGAUGCUCAACCAAUUGAAGCACCCAGGCACCCUAAUAAAUGCCUUUGGAAAUGUUGAAAGAUGUUAUAGCAGAAUAUCCAUGGUUUCUAUUAAGAGAGUCAAAAACAAAACUUUAUCAUUUUUAUUUUUACUAUUCAAGUGAGGAAAACAAAGCAUCUGACAGGUGAAAGGUCAGCUCUUUGGAGACAUGUUCUCAAUUGUGAAAAGAAGGACAGAUCUUCUGUCUGCUUUUGUUGUUGCAAGUUUCCAGAGGGAGAUGCCUGAGACAGAACAAAUAUGCAUCAUUGUGUUCAUGGACUACAGAUUUUCGCCUUAGGAGUCCUCCCUGAGAAGAUUCUAUGAAAAGAAGAGUGGACAAAAGAAGAGCACACUGCCGUGGAGCAGCCUCUAACACAGAAUGAGGAAGCCAAGUCUGAACACAAGAAAAAGAAAGACAGUUGGCUGUGUAGGACCAGGGAAGACACCCCAAGAGAACAUCUUUGACAUGAACAUUAUCUUUGAGUUAAAAAGCAAUCAAGACUCAGCAGAUCCAGGAAAAGCUUUUUACCUCCCCCUCAACUGCCUAAGAAAAAUUGAGAUAGAGGACUUGUUCCAGCAGGAGAGCUAUCACCUGAGUUAGAUAAGUACAUACCUAGCUAUGGUAGACAGAGAGGAACCCCAGAGGCCUGCUUGAUCAAAGUGCU
rnacentral:lncRNA from 1 species